CAGUGAAGCAAUAGUAGCUUUUGUCAAGGCCCUUUGCAAAGUUUCAAUGUCAGAACUACAGUCUCCGACAGAUCCUCGUGUAUUUAGCCUUACAAAAAUUGUUGAAGUUGCGCACUAUAACAUGAACCGUAUCAGAUUAGUGUGGUCCCACAUAUGGAGUGUUCUUUCAGAGUUCUUUGUGGCUGUUGGUUUGUCAGAAAAUCUUUCAGUUGCAAUUUUUGUUAUGGACUCAUUACGACAACUUGCUAUGAAGUUUUUAGAACGAGAGGAACUGGCGAACUACAACUUUCAGAAUGAAUUUUUGAGACCAUUUGUUAUUGUUAUGCAACAAAGUAAUUCUGCUGAAAUCAGGG
rnacentral:misc_RNA from 1 species